rnacentral:rRNA from 1 species
AUACGUAGGGGGCGAGCGUUGUCCGGAAUGACUGGGCGUAAAGGGCGUGUAGGCGGUUGAAUAAGUCUGGAGUGAAAGUCCCGGUUUCAAGUUGGGAACUGCUUUGGAUACUGUUCAACUUGAGUGCGGAAGAGGUAAGUGGAAUUCCCAGUGUAGCGGUGAAAUGCGUAGAGAUUGGGAGGAACACCAGUGGCGAAGGCGAUUUACUGGGCCGUAACGGACGCUGAUGCGCGAAAGCGGGGGGAGCGAACAGGAUUAGAUACCCUGGUAGUCCUUGCCGUAAACGGUGGGCGCUAGGUGUAGGGGUCUGCCACGGCUUCUGUGCCGUAGCUAACGCAUUAAGCGCCCCGCCUGGGGAGUACGGCCGCAAGGCUGAAACUCAAAUGAAUUGGCGGGG